GCCGCGAUGGCGGAAUUGGUAGACGCGCGAGACUCAAAAUCUCGUGUCCGCAAGGGCGUGGGGGUUCGAUUCCCUCUCGCGGCA
rnacentral:tRNA from 1 species